rnacentral:rRNA from 1 species
GGCGGACGGGUGAGUAAUGUCUGGGAAACUGCCUGAUGGAGGGGGAUAACUACUGGAAACGGUAGCUAAUACCGCAUAACGUCGCAAGACCAAAGAGGGGGACCUUCGGGCCUCUUGCCAUCAGAUGUGCCCAGAUGGGAUUAGCUAGUAGGUGGGGUAACGGCUCACCUAGGCGACGAUCCCUAGCUGGUCUGAGAGGAUGACCAGCCACACUGGAACUGAGACACGGUCCAGACUCCUACGGGAGGCAGCAGUGGGGAAUAUUGCACAAUGGGCGCAAGCCUGAUGCAGCCAUGCCGCGUGUAUGAAGAAGGCCUUCGGGUUGUAAAGUACUUUCAGCGGGGAGGAAGGGAGUAAAGUUAAUACCUUUGCUCAUUGACGUUACCCGCAGAAGAAGCACCGGCUAACUCCGUGCCAGCAGCCGCGGUAAUACGGAGGGUGCAAGCGUUAAUCGGAAUUACUGGGCGUAAAGCGCACGCAGGCGGUUUGUUAAGUCAGAUGUGAAAUCCCCGGGCUCAACCUGGGAACUGCAUCUGAUACUGGCAAGCAUGAGUCUCGUAGAGGGGGGUAGAAUUCCAGGUGUAGCGGUGAAAUGCGUAGAGAUCUGGAGGAAUACCGGUGGCGAAGGCGGCCCCCUGGACGAAGACUGACGAUCAGGUGCGAAAGCGUGGGGAGCAAACGGGAUUAGAUACCCUGGUAGUCCACGCCGUAAACGAUGUCGACUUGGAGGUUGUGCCCUUGAGGCGUGGCUUCCGGAGCUAACGCGUUAAGUCGACCGCCUGGGGAGUACGGCCACAUGGUUAAAACUCAAAUGAAUUGACGGGGGCCCGCACAAGCGGUGGAGCAUGUGGUUUAAUUCGAUGCAACGCGAAGAACCUUACCUGGUCUUGACAUCCACGGAAGUUUUCAGAGAUGAGAAUGUGCCUUCGGGAACCGUGAGACAGGUGCUGCAUGGCUGUCGUCAGCUCGUGUUGUGAAAUGUUGGGUUAAGUCCCGCAACGAGCGCAACCCUUAUCCUUUGUUGCCAGCGGUCCGGCCGGGAACUCAAAGGAGACUGCCAGUGAUAAACUGGAGGAAGGUGGGGAUGACGUCAAGUCAUCAUGGCCCUUACGACCAGGGCUACACACGUGCUACAAUGGCGCAUACAAAGAGAAGCGACCUCGCGAGAGCAAGCGGACCUCAUAAAGUGCGUCGUAGUCCGGAUUGGAGUCUGCAACUCGACUCCAUGAAGUCGGAAUCGCUAGUAAUCGUGGAUCAGAAUGCCACGGUGAAUACGUUCCCGGGCCUUGUACACACCGCCCGUCACACCAUGGGAGUGGGUUGCAAAAGAAGUAGGUAGCUUAACCUUCGGGAGGGCGCUUACCACUUUGUGAUUCAUGACUGGGGUGAAAUCGUAACAAGGUA